rnacentral:lncRNA from 1 species
GCAAUCCAAAGAUAAGAAAGAAAGAAAAAAAAACACCCACAGAUGUACUAUUUGCAAAGAGCUAUUUGGUUUGAGUGCAGACAAACCUAUAGACAGGAGGACAUAGAGCAGACCAAUGAGCAGAGACGGUUCAAAUUAGACUUUGUAAACUCAUUGUCUUCCCCCGCCCCAUAAGUCAGUUCUUCUCCCAACUCCAGUCCCCAAAAUGUUCUACUUAAAACUGGAAAUUAAAAUUUAGGCUAGAAUAUAACUUUUAAGAGCUUUUAUUAUGUUUUGAAAUUUCAUAAAUCUAAGUUUGGUUCCAU